AGAUACUGGAAUAAUUACGUUCAACAUCACGCAGUAUCGCGCGUGCGACAAGGAUGUAUUAACUGCUUCACACGCGCUAUAUUGGUCAUCACGCGCGUGAUGACCCUUUUUUGGGGGAUUUUCUGGCGCGUUCAGGUCCAUUUUGAAGGCUUUUUAAAGGGGAUUUUGUCACUUUUUCAAGGGUUACGAAAAUUGGCACCAGAAGUACGAUUUCUACAGCAUCAGAUGUGAUUUUGAGAGCAUUUGAAGCCAU
rnacentral:lncRNA from 1 species